CUACGGGAGGCUCCAGUAGGGAAUAUUGCGCAAUGGAGGAAACUCUGACGCAGCAACGCCGCGUGAGUGAUGAAGGCCCUCGGGUCGUAAAGCUCUGUCGUACGGGAAGAUGAUGACGGUACCGUACAAGAAAGCACCGGCUAACUUCGUGCCAGCAGCCGCGGUAAGACGAGGGGUGCUAGCGUUGUUCGGAAUUACUGGGCGUAAAGCGCAUGUAGGCGGUUUGGUAUGUCUGGUGUGAAAGCCCUGGGCUUAACCCAGGAAGUGCAUUUGAAACUGCUAGACUUGAGUAUCGGAGAGGGCAACGGAAUUCCUGGUGUAGUGGUGAAAUACGUAGAUAUCAGGAGGAACACCGGAGGCGAAGGCGGUUGCCUGGCCGACUACUGACGCUGAGAUGCGAAAGCGUGGGGAGCAAACAGGAUUAGAUACCCUAGUAGUC
rnacentral:rRNA from 1 species